AUUAUAUUUUAUGUGCAGAAAACAGAUAGAUGUUGAUUUUUGCCUCAAAUUUGAUUUUAUGUGCCCGCAUGUAAAUUCUAGUUGAUAACAAUAAAUUACAAUGUCAAUGCACAUAAUCUUUACUUGCGUUCUAAUGUAUUAUAAAGGUCAGGUUGUUACAUCCUGUUUAUGUUUCUUAUUAAAUUCUAGAACACUCGUAGAGUAACGGGAAGUAAAGAUGUCGCCUUUUGCAUCAUCCUGCGAUUUGCGUUUUUGAAAUUAAUUGUUCUUUUGUUUAAAACUAUGAUUUCAAGUUCUAUUGCAACGACUGACUCGACGGAUUAUGGAGUUUUGUUUGACUAGAAGAGAUUCUGAAUCUGACCGAGAAUCUGACUGUACCGGAUUCAAAUUCUGUGACGGCGGACGACAUAGACUGCAGUAAAAACAGUGCUACGCUCCUAGGACGUUCAAGGAUUCACCUAUUCCGACCAGAUACCAGCACAAACUCCCACAUGAUCUAGCUCUACCCGUACUACGGCAUAUAUGAAGACAUUCUCAUCAACCCUACCGCUGCUCACUUCACCAUAACCAAGGCUGCCGAAAAUCCACUAAGUCCACCAAAAUAAUUUCAUUGAAGUGCAAAUAAACAUGAGAUUGAGUUCCGUUAA